rnacentral:rRNA from 1 species
GGGCCGGAAAGUUGGUCAAACUCGGUCAUUUAGAGGAAGUAAAAGUCGUAACAAGGUCUCCGUAGGUGAACCUGCGGAGGGAUCAUUA